rnacentral:rRNA from 1 species
AUGGCGGCUGCCAUGAGCUACGUGCAUGCCGACGUGGAGAACCUCAAGGCGACGGAGCUGAGGCUCGGCCUGCCGGGCGUCGAGGAGAGCGACAAGAUGCCGUCGCCGCCGUCCACUCCCAGGGCCGGCACCAAGCGCGCGCUCGCCGGGGAGCACCGCGAGGAGGAGCCCAAGGCCGCGCCCCCGGCCGCCAAGGCGCAGGUGGUUGGGUGGCCGCCCGUGAGGUCCUACAGGAAGAGCUGCUUCCAGCAGGCGAGCAGCAAGGCCAAGGCGGCCGCACCGGCACCUGUGGUAGUGAAGCAGGAGGAGACGGCCGUUGCCGCGGCGCCGCCCGCCGCCGCUGCCGCGGGAGGAUCACUGUACGUGAAGGUGAGCAUGGACGGAGCCCCUUACCUGAGGAAGAUCGACCUCAAGAUGUACAAGGGCUACCGCGAGCUCAGGGAGGCCCUGGAGGCCAUGUUCCUCGGCUUCUCCGGCGACGCAGGCAGUGUGAACCCGUCGGACUUCGCCGUGACCUACGAGGACAAGGACGGCGACCUCAUGCUCGUUGGCGACGUGCCCUUCGGGAUGUUCAUGAGCACUUGCAAGAGGAUGAGGAUCAUGAAGGGAUCCGAAGCAAGAGGCCUAGGAUCAUCAAAGGAGUGA